ACGACGCUGGCGGCGUGCUUAACACAUGCAAGUCGAACGGUAAGGCCCUUCGGGGUACACGAGUGGCGAACGGGUGAGUAACACGUGGGUGAUCUGCCCUGCACUUUGGGAUAAGCCUGGGAAACUGGGUCUAAUACCGAAUAUGACCAUGGACUUCACGGUUUGUGGUGGAAAGCUUUUGCGGUGUGGGAUGGGCCCGCGGCCUAUCAGCUUGUUGGUGGGGUAAUGGCCUACCAAGGCGACGACGGGUAGCCGGCCUGAGAGGGUGACCGGCCACACUGGGACUGAGAUACGGCCCAGACUCCUACGGGAGGCAGCAGUGGGGAAUAUUGCACAAUGGGCGCAAGCCUGAUGCAGCGACGCCGCGUGGGGAUGACGGCCUUCGGGUUGUAAACCUCUUUCACCAGGGACGAAGCGAGAGUGACGGUACCUGGAGAAGAAGGACCGGCCAACUACGUG
rnacentral:rRNA from 1 species